rnacentral:lncRNA from 1 species
AUAAGUAAAAUCCAUCCUUUUUGAGCGUUUGUGUAAGAGGAUCAGAUAAGAAAGUGCUUCGAAAGGCGCCGGCUACCUUCUUACUGACAGCACAGCUAGGUGCUGGCACUCAAUUAGUAGCGCUGGCACGUCACUCGGCUCCUCGGCUCACUUCGGUUGCAAAGACUUUCUCCUUAGGCGCAUGUCUCAGCAACACAAAACGAGGGUUUCGCUCGUUAUAGG